rnacentral:rRNA from 1 species
UACCAGCACCCCGAGUGGUCGGGACGAUUAUUGGGCCUAAAGCAUCCGUAGCCGGUUCUACAAGUCUUCCGUUAAAUCCACCUGCUUAACAGAUGGGCUGCGGAGGAUACUAUAGAGCUAGGAGGCGGGAGAGGCAAGCGGUACUUAGUGGGUAGGGGUAAAAUCCGUUGAUCCAUUGAAGACCACCAGUGGCGAAGGCGGCUUGCCAGAAUGCGCUCGACGGUGAGGGAGUGAAAGCUGGGGGGAG